GACGAACGCUGGCGGCGUGCUUAACACAUGCAAGUCGAACGGAAAGGCCUCUUUCGGGGGGUACUCGAGUGGCGAACGGGUGAGUAACACGUGAGUAACCUGCCCUUGACUUUGGGAUAACUUCAGGAAACUGGGGCUAAUACCGGAUAGGAGCUCCUGCUGCAUGGUGGGGGUUGGAAAGUUUCGGCGGUUGGGGAUGGACUCGCGGCUUAUCAGCUUGUUGGUGGGGGAGUGGCUUACCAAGGCUUUGACGGGUAGCCGGCCUGAGAGGGUGACCGGCCACAUUGGGACUGAGAUACGGCCCAGACUCCUACGGGAGGCAGCAGUGGGGAAUAUUGCACAAUGGGUGGAAGCCUGAUGCAGCAACGCCGGGGGCGGGAUGACGGCCUUCGGGUUGUAAACCGCUUUCGCUCAUGACGAAGCUUUGUGUGACGGUAGUGGGUAAAGAAGCACCGGCUAACUACGUG
rnacentral:rRNA from 1 species